rnacentral:rRNA from 1 species
UACGUAGGGUGCGAGCGUUAAUCGGAAUUACUGGGCGUAAAGCGUGCGCAGGCGGUUGGGCAAGACCGAUGUGAAAGCCCCGGGCUUAACUGGGGAGUGUCGUGCGAUACGGUCGAACUGGAGGCCAGUAGGGGGAUGCGGAAUUCCGGGUGUAGUGGUGGAAUGCGUAGAGAUCCGGAGGAACACCAGCGGCGAAGGCGGCAUCCUGGACUGGUCCUGACACUCAGGAGCGAAAGCGUGGGGAGCAAACAGG